rnacentral:rRNA from 1 species
AUUGAACGCUGGCGGAACGCUUUACACAUGCAAGUCGAACGGCAGCACGGGGCAACCUGGUGGCGAGUGGCGAACGGGUGAGUAAUACAUCGGAACGUGCCCAGUCGUGGGGGAUAACGUAGCGAAAGUUACGCUAAUACCGCAUACGAUCUAAGGAUGAAAGCGGGGGAUCGCAAGACCUCGCGCGAUUGGAGCGGCCGAUGUCAGAUUAGGUAGUUGGUGGGGUGAAGGCCCACCAAGCCGACGAUCUGUAGCUGGUCUGAGAGGACGACCAGCGACACUGGGACUGAGACACGACCCCGACUCCUACGGGAGGGAGCAGUGGGGAAUUUUGGACAAUGGGCGCAAGCCUGAUCCAGCCAUCCCGCGGUCAGGAUGAAGGCCUUCGGGUUGUAAACUGCUUUUGUACGGAGCGAAAAGGCUCUCUCUAAUACAGGGGGCUCAUGACGGUACCGUAAGAAUAAGCACCGGCUAACUACGUGCCAGCAGCCGCAGUAACAC